AACGAACGCUGGCGGCAUGCCUAACACAUGCAAGUCGAACGAAGUCUUCGGACUUAGUGGCGCACGGGUGCGUAACGCGUGGGAAUCUGCCCUUGGGUGCGGAAUAACUUCUCGAAAGGGAUGCUAAUACCGCAUAAUGUCGUAAGACCAAAGAUUUAUCGCCCAAGGAUGAGCCUGCGUAAGAUUAGCUAGUUGGUGGGGUAAAAGCCUACCAAGGCGACGAUCUUUAGCUGGUCUGAGUGGAUGAUCAGCCACACUGGGACUGAGACACGGCCCAGACUCCUACGGGAGGCAGCAGUGGGGAAUAUUGGACAAUGGGCGAAAGCCUGAUCCAGCAAUGCCGCGUGAGUGAUGAAGGCCCUAGGGUUGUAAAGCUCUUUUACCAGGGAUGAUAAUGACAGUACCUGGAGAAUAAGCUCCGGCUAACUCCGUGCCAGCAGCCGCGGUAAU
rnacentral:rRNA from 1 species